GGGGUAAGGGUUACAGCUCCUCUCAGUAGCAGGUAAAGGCCCAGUAGAGACAGGGGUAAGGGUUACAGCUCCUCUCAGUAGCAGGUAAAGGCCCAGUAGAGACAGGGGUAAGGGUUACAGCUCCUCUCAGUAGCAGGUAAAGGCCCAGUAG